GGAGAGAUGACCGAGAGGCCGAAGGUAGCGGAUUGCUAAUCCGUCGUAGGUGUCAUAACGCCUACCGAGGGUUCGAAUCCCUCUCUCUCCG
rnacentral:tRNA from 1 species